rnacentral:rRNA from 8 species
AAUGACUCUCGGCAACGGAUAUCUCGGCUCUUGCAUCGAUGAAGAACGUAGCAAAAUGCGAUACUUGGUGUGAAUUGCAGAAUCCCGUGAACCAUCGAGUCUUUGAACGCAAGUUGCGCCUGAAACCAUUAGGUUGAGGGCACGUCUGCCUGGGUGUCACACAA